rnacentral:rRNA from 1 species
GAUGAACGCUGGCGGCGUGCCUAAUACAUGCAAGUCGAGCGAACGGACGAGAAGCUUGCUUCUCUGAUGUUAGCGGCGGACGGGUGAGUAACACGUGGAUAACCUACCUAUAAGACUGGGAUAACUUCGGGAAACCGUAGCUAAUACCGGAUAAUAUUUUGAACCGCAUGGUUCAAAAGUGAAAGACGGUCUUGCUGUCACUUAUAGAUGGAUCCGCGCUGCAUUAGCUAGUUGGUAAGGUAACGGCUUACCAAGGCAACGAUGCAUAGACGACCUGAGAGGGUGAUCGGCCACACUGGAACUGAGACACGGUCCAGACUCCUACGGGAGGCAGCAGUAGGGAAUCUUCCGCAAUGGGCGAAAGCCUGACGGAGCAACGCCGCGUGAGUGAUGAAGGUCUUCGGAUCGUAAAACUCUGUUAUUAGGGAAGAACAUAUGUGUAAGUAACUGUGCACAUCUUGACGGUACCUAAUCAGAAAGCCACGGCUAACUACGUG